UACGUAGGGGGCAAGCGUUGUCCGGAUUUAUUGGGCGUAAAGGGUGUGUAGGUGGCGCCGUAAGUCGGGUGUGAAAUUUCGGAGCUUAACUCCGAAACUGCAUUCGAUACUGCGGUGCUUGAGGACUGGAGAGGAGACUGGAAUUCAUGGUGUAGCAGUGAAAUGCGUAGAGAUCAUGAGGAAGACCAGUGGCGAAGGCGGGUCUCUGGACCACAACUGACGCUGAGGCGCGAAAGCUAGGGGAGCAAACAGG
rnacentral:rRNA from 1 species